rnacentral:rRNA from 7 species
GUAUCUUCGGAUAUGAGUAGAGCGGCGGACGGGUGAGUAACGCGUAGGAAUCUACCUAGUAGAAGGGGAUAGCCCGGGGAAACCCGGAUUAAUACCGUAUACCUCCUUCGGGAGAAAGAAGGCCUCUCUUUGAAGCUUUCGCUACUAGAUGAGCCUGCGUAAGAUUAGCUUGUUGGUGAGGUAAAGGCUCACCAAGGCUACGAUCUUUAGCUGGUCUGAGAGGACGAUCAGCCACAUUGGGACUGAGACACGGCCCAGACUCCUACGGGAGGCAGCAGUGGGGAAUAUUGGACAAUGGGCGCAAGCCUGAUCCAGCCAUACCGCGUGUGUGAAGAAGGCCUUCGGGUUGUAAAGCACUUUAAGCAGGGAGAAAAAGUUAUAAGCUAAUAUCUUAUGACCUUGAUGUUACCUGCAGAAUAAGCACCGGCUAAUUCCGUGCCAGCAGCCGCGGUAAUACGGAAGGUGCAAGCGUUAAUCGGAAUUACUGGGCGUAAAGCGCGCGUAGGUGGUUUGUUAAGUUGGAUGUGAAAGCCCUGGGCUCAACCUAGGAACUGCAUCCAAAACUAACUCACUAGAGUACGAUAGAGGGAGGUAGAAUUCAUAGUGUAGCGGUGGAAUGCGUAGAUAUUAUGAAGAAUACCAGUGGCGAAGGCGGCCUCCUGGAUCUGUACUGACACUGAGGUGCGAAAGCGUGGGUAGCGAACAGGAUUAGAUACCCUGGUAGUCCACGCCGUAAACGAUGACAACUAGCUGUUGGGAGACAAAGUCUUUCAGUGGCGCAGCUAACGC